UGAGGGAUAUUGGUCAAUGGGGAAACCCUGAACCAGAACGUGCGUGAGAGUAACUGUUCACGCAGUGACGGUAUCCAACCAGAAAGUCACGGCUAACUACGUGCCAGCAGCCGCGGUAAUACGUAGGUGGCAAGCGUUAUCCGGAUUUAUUGGGCGUAAAGCGAGCGCAGGCGGUUGCUUAGGUCUGAUGUGAAAGCCUUCGGCUUAACCGAAGAAGUGCAUCGGAAACCGGGCGACUUGAGUGCAGAAGAGGACAGUGGAACUCCAUGUGUAGCGGUGGAAUGCGUAGAUAUAUGGAAGAACACCAGUGGCGAAGGCGGCUGUCUGGUCUGCAACUGACGCUGAGGCUCGAAAGCAUGGGUAGCGAACAGG
rnacentral:rRNA from 1 species